CAGAGGAAAAUGCUUAGCGUUUUGACACGACAAUUGUCUGUAAGUACAGUACUUCAUAUUCUUUCAACAGGAAACACGUAGCCUUUUAAAGGAAACCUCACUGCUGGAGGCUGUUAUUUAUUUGUGAAUGACAUUUCACUAAAAGCGUCCCACUCGCCCCCAGUUUUCUAUUUCCAUGACAAUGUAAUGAUUCAGAAUCCGCGGACCCUUUGUCGGAUCGCACCUUGCCAUUUAAACACUGGAGCAAAGAUCCAAGAGGUUAUAAGGGUCACUCUCUGUUUCUCCAAGUGCUGUUGAGCAGGUGUUUUGCUCCUCUCAAAAGCUAUGUGGAGGUGGAAAAUAGAUCUGACCCACGUGUGAGUAACUAACAAAAAGAAUCAGCUGGGUUCCUAGAUUUAAAAUGUGAGGCUUUGCACAAUCUCCAGUGAGAGAGAAUAGAAUAGAAUAGAAUAGAAUAGAAUAGAAUAGAAUAGAAUAGAAUAGAAUCAUAGAGUUGGAAGAGACCACAAGGGCCAUCGAGUCCAACCCCCUGCCAAGCAGGAAACACCAUCAGAGCACUCCCGACAUAUGGCUGUCAAGCCUCUGCUUAAAGACCUCCAAAGAAGGAGACUCCACCACACUCCUUGGCAGCAAAUUCCACUGUCGAACAGCUCUUACUGUCAGGAAGUUCUUCCUAAUGUUUAGGUGGAAUCUUCUUUCUUGUAGUUUGGAUCCAUUGCUCCGUGUCCGCUUCUCUGGAGCAGCAGAAAACAACCUUUCUCCCUCCUCUAUGUGACAUCCUUUUAUAUAUUUGAACAUGGCUAUCAUAUCACCCCUUAACCUCCUCUUCUCCAGGCUAAACAUGCCCAGCUCCCUUAGCCGUUCCCCAUAAGGCAUCGUUUCCAGGCCUUUGACCAUUUUGGUUGCCCUCCUCUGGACACGUUCCAGUUUGUCAGUGUCCUUCUUGAACUGUGGUGCCCAGAACUGGACACAGUACUCCAGGUGAGGUCUGACCAGAGCAGAAUACAGUGGCACUAUUACUUCCCUUGAUCUAGAUGCUAUACUCCUAUUGAUGCAGCCCAGAAUUGCAUUGGCUUUUUUAGCUGCCGCGUCACACUGUUGGCUCAUGUCAAGUUUGUGGUCAACCAAGACUCCUAGAUCCUUUUCACAUGUACUGCUCUCAAGCCAAGUGUCACCCAUCUUGUAUUUGUGCCUCUCAUUCUUUUUGCCCAAGUGCAAUACUUUACAUUUCUCCCUGUUAAAAUUCAUCUUGUUUCUUUUGGCCCAGUUCUCUAAUCUGUCAAGGUCGUUUUGAAGUGUGAUCCUGUCCUCUGGGGUGUUAGCCACCCCUCACAGUUUGGUGUCAUCUGCAAAUUUGAUCAGGAUGCCCUUGAGUCCAUCAUCCAAGUCGUUGAUAAAGAUGUUGAAUAAGACCGGGCCCAAGACAGAACCCUGUGGCACCCCACUAGUCACUCUUCUCCAGGAUGAAGAGGAACCAUUGAUGAGCACCCUUUGGGUUCGGUCAGUCAGCCAGUUACAAAUCCACUGAGUGGUAGCAUAGUCAAGACCACAUUUUACCAGCUUCUUUACAAGGAUAUCAUGAGGCACCUUGUCAAAUGCCUUGCUGAAAUCAAGGUAGGCUACAUCCACUGCGUUCCCUCAUCUACCAGGCUUGUAAUUCUGUCAAAAAACGAGAUCAGGUUAGUCUGACAUGACUUAUUUUUCAGAAAUCCAUGCUGACUAUUGGUGAUCACAGCAUUCCUUUCUAGGUGCUCACAGACUGUACGCUUAAUGAUCUGCUCCAGAAUCUUCCCUGGUAUUGAUGUCAGACUGACUGGGCGGUAAUUAUUUGGGUCCUCUCUUUCCCCCUUUUUGAAAAUAGGGACAACAUUUGCCCUCCUCCAGUCUGCCGGGACUUCACCUGUUCUCCAGGAAUUCUCAAAGAUGACUGCCAGUGGUUCUGAGAUCACAUCUGCCAGUUCUUUUAAUACUCUUGGAUGCAGUUCAUCUGGCCCUGGAGACUUGAAUACAUCUAAACUAGCCAAGUAUUCUUGUACUAUCUCCUUAGUUAUUCUGGGCUGUGUUUCCUUUGCUGAAUCAUUUGCUCCAAAUUCUUCAGGUCGGGCAUUGUUUUCUUUAUCGGAGAAGACUGAGGCAAAGAAGGCAUUGAGGAGUUCAGCCCUUUCUGUGUCCCCUGUUUGCAUUUCACCAUCUUCUCCUCUGAGUGACCCCACUGUUUCUUUGUUCUUCCUUUUGCUACGGACAUACCCAUAAAAGCCUUUUUGUUGCUUUUAACCUCUCUAGCAAGCCUGAGUUCAUUCUGCGCUUUAGCUUUUCUGACUUUGUGUCUACACGUGCUGGCUAUUUGUUUGAAUUCCUCUUUGGUGGUUUCCCCCCUUUUCCAUUUUUUGUACACAUCCUUUUUUAAUCUUAACUCAGUUAAAAGUUCUUUAGAUAGCCACCCUGGCUUCUUUAGGCACCUUCCAUGUUUCCGUCUCAUUGGUAUUGCCUGACGUUGUGCUUUUACUAUCUCCCUCUUAACAAACUCCCAGCCAUCAUGAACUCCCUUUCCUUUUAGUAUUACUGUCCAUGGGAUCUCACCCAGCACUUCCCUAAGUUUUAUGAAGUCAGCUUUCUUAAAGUCAAGAAAUUGAGUCCUAGUAUGCUUGGCUGCUCCUUUCCGCUGUAUAGUAAACUUCAGAAGAGCAUGAUCACUCGCGCCUAAUGAUCCUUCCACUUCUACCCCACUAACCAGGUCAUCAACAUUGGUUAGGACCAGAUCUAAAAUGGCUGUUCCUCUUGUUGCUUCUCCCACUUUCUGGACAAUGAAGUUGUCUGCAAGGCCAGUGAGGAAUCUGUUUGACCUUAUGCUCUUGGCUGAGUUUGACAUCCAACAAAUAUCCGGGUAACUGAAGUCCCCAUUACUACUAUCUCCUUCCUUUUGCAUGCUUGGCCAUCUGUUCCAGGAAGGCAUCAUCUAUGUCCUCCGUUUGGCUUGGGGAUCUAUAGUAAACUCCCACAAUGAGGUCACUCUGAUUCUUCUCUCCCUUAAUUUUGACCCAAAUGCUCUCACUUUGGCUUUGAGGUUCUAAAUCUUGGAUCUCUUCACAGGUAUACACAUCCCUGACAUAUAACGCCACUCCUCCUCCUUUCUUGUCUGGUCUGUUUCUCUGAAAUAGAUUGUAUCCCCCCAUUAUUACAUUCCAAUCGUGGGACUUAUCCCACCAGGUUUCAGUGAUGCCUAUUAUGUCAUAUUUAGUUUGCUGUACCAAGAGCUCAAGCUCAUCUUGUUUAUUUCCCAUGCUUUGUGCAUUAGUGUACAGACAUUGAAGUCCAUUAAUCAUUCCCCGUGUCUCUUAUUUAAUGAUUUUUUCCUCCCACCACUAGGUCUGUGUGCUGUUUGCUCCAUUUGGUCUAUGACAUUUGGAUGAUCAUCUUCAUCAAUUGAUAGACUCCUACCUUCAGGAGCACUGUCUCCCUCCCCCACAUUAGUCAGUUUAAAGCCCUCUUGAUGAGGUUUCUUGGAUUUUUGGCAAAAACAUUUCUCCCAACCGUUGUGAGGUGCAGCCCAUCGCUUGCCAGAAGUCCAUCAGCAGAGUUAAAAACACUCUCAGAAUUACCGUAUUUUUCGCUCUAUAAGACGCACCAGACCACAAGACGCACUAAGUUUCUGGAGCAGGAAAACAAGGGAAAAAAUAUUCUGAAUCUCAGAAGCCAGAACAACAAGAGGGAUCGCUGUGCAGCGAAAGCAGCGAUCCCUCUUGCUGUUCUGGCUUCUGGGAUAGCUGUGCAGCCUGCAUUCGCUCCAUAAGACGCACACACAUUUCCCCUUACUUUUUAGGAGGGAAAAAGUGAGUCUUAUAGAGCAAAAUAUACGGUAACCAGCAGCAUAGCGUAGAAUGCAGGUUGUUAAAUCUCUUUGCAUAUCCUGUUAUAUAAUCAUAGAAUUGGAAAGACCCGAAGGGUCAUCUAGUCCAACCCUCUGCAAUGCAGGAAUAUGCAGGAAUAUACAAGGAUCGAACCUACAACCUUGGUGUUAUGAACACCACACUCUUACACACUGAGCUACCCAGGUUGACAAAAAACGCUUACCCCUCCAGCAAUGAGCAGACCACACAUUCUUAAGUUUAAAAGCUUUACUUACUAAAUCUAAAGGUCUGGUUCAUGCAUUGUUCUAUGCGGCAGCAAAGAGAACACCGGUACAUUGCUCUUGGGUGCAAAAUGCACAACAGUAUGAACUACCUUUACAUUAGGCCAGGGAGUUAUACCCUGUCAAUUGCAGUUCAGACAUGGCCGUCCUGGUGGAUUACGCAGUGAGAAGAGAGGAAAUAGAAGCAGCUUCACUUCCUCCUUCAUGGAAAAGAGUGGGGAUUCCAUAAAGAGGAAGGGGGCCAACACAGAGAGGGCUCUGUCUUGUUGCCACCCUUCAAACCUACCUUGGUGGUGUCACAUACAGAAGAGCCUCGGGUGAUGAUCUCAGGCUCUGGAUUGGUUCAUCUCAGGGAAGGUUGUUGGAAGCUUCCAGACAGGUAAAAUAAAGUCCUUCUCCAUGUAGCAGACUUUGAGAAAACAUCUGAAGGCAGCCCUGUUUAGGGAAGCUUUUAAUGUUUAAUAGAUUAUUGUAUUUUAAUAUUCUGUUGGAAGCUGCCCAGAGUGGCUGGGGAAACCCAGCCAGAUGGGCAGGGUAUAAAUAUAUUAUUAUUAUUAUUAUUAUUAUUAUUAUUAUUAUUAUUAAAUUUUGGAAUUCAAUCCCACAGGGGGCUGUGAUGGCCACCAACUUAGAUGACUUUAAAGUAGAAAGGUAAAGGUAAAGGACCCCUGACAGUUAAGUCUAAUCAUGAAUGACUCUGGGGUUGCGGCGCUCAUCUCGCUUUACAGGCCAAGGGAGCCGGCGUUUGUCCGCAGCCAGUUUUUCCAGGUCAUGUGGCCAGCAGGACUAAGCCGCUUCUGGCGAAACCAGAGCAGUGCACAGAAACGCCGUUUACCUUCCCACCGGAGCGGUACCUAUUUAUCUACUUGCACUUUGACGUGCUUUUGAACUGCUAGGUUGGCAGGAGCUGGGACCAAGCAAUGGGAGCUCAUCCCGUCGCGGGGAUUCGAACCUCCAACCUUCUGAUCGGCAAGCCCUAUUCAUGGAGCAGAAGGCUUUCAAUGUCUACUAACUACAAUGGAUAGUAAUAGUGGCCGCCGAGACCAUAUAACACGGGUCCUGAAAGACCUACAUUGACUCCCAGUAAGUUUCCGAG